rnacentral:lncRNA from 1 species
AUUUUUAACAUCUUACAUUAUUAUGGUGCAUUUGUUACAAUUAAUCAAUCACGGUUCAUAAACUAUUAUUAACUUAGUUUAUUCAGAUUGUUAUUCAGAUUGCCUUAGUUUUUACCUAAUGUAUUUUUUCUGUUCCAGAAUUCCAUCUAGGAUGUCACAUUAAUUUAAUAGUCACAUCUCCUUAGGUUCCUCUUGAUAGAGAUUCUUAGACUUUUCUUGUUUUUGGUGACUUUGACAGUUUUGAAGAGUACCGGGCAGAUAUUGUGGAGGACAUCCCUUAGUAUGGUUAUAGAUGAUGUUUUCCUCAGAUUAGACUGGAGCGAUCUGUUCUUGGGAUGAAGACCACAGAGGCAACAGAAACAAUCUUUGUCCAACCAGCAAAAGAGGGAUUUGGAGAAAGAAAAUGAAGCAGCUUAUGGAACAGAAGAAUGCAGAUGUGACGGUUGAUAGACCAGCUGCUAUAUUGGACUAUGAAGACAAGGGUCACCCCUCUGGAUCGGACAGUGUGGAGUUAGAAGAAGCUCAGCUCCCUGAGGAUUUUGUGGAGUACAUCCAUACCAGCCCAUACAGGCUGACUGCAGACAUUAAUUUUAUGUCAUGCCCCUGGAAGCUGAGCCCAGUUCAAAUGGCUGCUAUCUUUCUAUCUACUGUGUAGAGAAUACUGGAGGGACAAGAGUGAAAAUAGGGAUAAUCUCUAUUUCAUACAUAGGAACCCUGAAGCCUGAAGAAGUUAAAUGAAGUACAUUAGGAUUGUGGGUAAAAGUACUGGCUUUAAAGUUAGUAAACUUGUCUGUAUUUAAAUCCUGCCUCCAAUACUUCCUAACCUUGUAACCUUGAGCAAUUCCUUAGCCUGGGUAAGCCUGAUUUCCUCAUCUGUAGAAUGGGAUGAUAACAGUGCCUAUCUUAGACUAUGAUUGUGUGUAUUAAAUAAAAUAAACCAUGAAAAGACCUAACACAGCCUGAUAGAAUUGGCAUUCCUCGCCUGCCAGUUCCCUGUCCCUCCUUCGCCGGACCCUUUCCCACCUCUUGCAUCUGUCCAGGAAAUGGUGAUCCUUCCAAGGUGGGUGAACAGCGCAAUCAGUUAAGAGAAAUGCCUUUUGUUACGAAGAGAGGGCAAAAAGAGGGAGAGAAGGGAGAAAGAAGGAAGCCUUAGCACACGAAUGGAUAUGAUGGACUUUCAAGUACCCAGAGGUUUCAGCUCACAAGAGACAAAUGUCAGUAGUGAGCCUGGAGUACUGAGAGAUCUAAGAAAAGAAGGCCGGAAGUUCAGCCGUCAGCCUCCAAGCUGUUCCCUUGCCAAUCCCCUUCUUUUUUCUCCCUUUCUCUAUCACCUCUUCUCUUUCCUCUUCCAAAAUAAAAGUAGGAAGCGUGAAAAGCUUGGUAAAUCAUCUGGUUUUCAGGCUGUUUUUCCUUGGAGUGGCUAAGACUGCUUUUUAUUGGCUUGGCAGGAUGUUUUGAGAUUGUGUGGCGAGGACUCCUCUGUGUGUGUGCCCGUGUGUGUGUGCGCGCGCGUGUGAGUGUUUAUCUGAGUACUGGG